rnacentral:lncRNA from 1 species
UCUAUUGUUAUGGAUAUAAUCAACCAAAAUCACAAACAGGAAAACACAGGUAAAUUGGCUUUAAUUGGUCAUGGGGUAUCAUGUAUGUAUUUCCAAUUUCAACGAUUCAUUCAUUUCCAGGAAAUUUAAGUUUUUAGAGGCUCAGAUCUGCAAAGAGAUCGAGGAAAAGAGAGAGGCGACCACGCCAUGGCUGCGAAAUCACCGUGAUUUGCCAAGCCAAGAUACGGAUCAUAUAAUCUCUAUGCCCGAUCCGGUUAGCCCAGAUUCAUCAGCAUUAUCAUCACUGCCUCAAUGGAUCAAAACUGAGAAAAUAAACCAACAUUGAGAGAGUACAGAAACAGAAAGCCAGCCAGAAUAAUUGCUAUAUAUAUGUUGGAAUAUAGUAGUACGUACGUACGUAUGUAUGUAUGUUUUCCUGGUACAAAUGAUUCAAUAAUUUCCAGGAAAUUAACAUGAAUCCAAGGGUUGUUGCUUUUUUUGUGUGGAAAAAUCAUUGGUUAAACAAGAGAGGGGCAACCACCCUUGUAAAGAAAUUACCAAAACUCUCUGUUUAGCCUCAUUUU